rnacentral:rRNA from 1 species
AGCAACAAAUGCCCUGCUUCCAGGAAAAGCCUCUAAGCCUCAGGUAACAUCAAAUCGUACCCCAAACCGACACAGGUGGUCAGGUAGAGAAUACCAAGGCGCUUGAGAGAACUCGGGUGAAGGAACUAGGCAAAAUGGUGCCGUAACUUCGGGAGAAGGCACGCUGACACGUAGGUGAAGUGGUUUACCCAUGGAGCUGAAGUCAGUCGAAGAUACCAGCUGGCUGCAACUGUUUAUUAAAAACACAGCACUGUGCAAACACGAAAGUGGACGUAUACGGUGUGACGCCUGCCCGGUGCCGGAAGGUUAAUUGAUGGGGUCAGCGCAAGCGAAGCUCCUGAUCGAAGCCCCGGUAAACGGCGGCCGUAACUAUAACGGUCCUAAGGUAGCGAAAUUCCUUGUCGGGUAAGUUCCGACCUGCACGAAUGGCGUAAUGAUGGCCAGGCUGUCUCCACCCGGGACUCAGUGAAAUUGAACUCGCUGUGAAGAUGCAGUGUACCCGCGGCAAGACGGAAAGACCCCGUGAACCUUUACUAUAGCUUGACACUGAACACUGGUCCUUGAUGUGCAGGAUAGGUGGGAGGCUUUGAAGUGUGGACGCCAGUCUGCAUGGAGCCGUCCUUGAAAUACCACCCUUUAAUGGCUGGUGUUCUAACGUGGGCCCGUAAUCCGGGUUGCGGACAGUGUCUGGUGGGUAGUUUGACUGGGGCGGUCUCCUCCUAAAGAGUAACGGAGGAGCACGAAGGUUGGCUAAUCCUGGUCGGACAUCAGGAGGUUAGUGCAAUGGCAUAAGCCAGCUUGACUGCGAGCGUGACGGCGCGAGCAGGUGCGAAAGCAGGUCAUAGUGAUCCGGUGGUUCUGAAUGGAAGGGCCAUCGCUCAACGGAUAAAAGGUACUCCGGGGAUAACAGGCUGAUACCGCCCAAGAGUUCAUAUCGACGGCGGUGUUUGGCACCUCGAUGUCGGCUCAUCACAUCCUGGGGCUGAAGUAGGUCCCAAGGGUAUGGCUGUUCGCCAUUUAAAGUGGUACGCGAGCUGGGUUUAGAACGUCGUGAGACAGUUCGGUCCCUAUCUGCCGUGGGCGCUGGAAGAUUGAGGGGGGCUGCUCCUAGUACGAGAGGACCGGAGUGGACGCAUCACUGGUGUUCGGGUUGUCAUGCCAAUGGCACUGCCCGGUAGCUACAUGCGGAAGAGAUAAGUGCUGAAAGCAUCUAAGCACGAAACUUGCCCCGAGAUGAAUCUUCCCUGAGCCUUUAAGGCUCCUGAAGGAACGUUGAAGACGACGACGUUGAU